rnacentral:lncRNA from 1 species
GGUAUGUUGGUUGUGGGCGGAGUCACGGGGUGACGGACGCGCCACCUGUAGAAAAGGCGAGCACCGGGUAAGCCGGGGCGUGGCUCCGGCGGCUCCUGCAUUGGGCCUUGAUGCUGCUCCUGUCUGCACGUGAUCCUCCAGAGCAAGACCAGAGGCAAUCCAGGGAAGACUGCUGGGAUGAAUACCUUCCAUCCUCUCCCUAUGUACCAGAAAUGGGAUCGUCUGACAGUGAUUUCCUCUUGUUAAAGGCAGUUUCCAUCACUGUGCCAUAGAUGUGCAAGGCUGGGUGAGCACCAGACCGGUGUGCUGGGAUAGCCCGGAGGACGCGCUCUCUCUUGUGCUCCAGCACAGGAGGAGCCGUGGGAAGCCUGAAGAAAUCUGGGAUUAGAGCUCGGAGCAAAACUUCCUUCCCAGCAGCUUUUCCCUGCAGAAAGAGGAGGCUUUUGGCAAGAGACCCUGACGUGUGAUGCAUCAGUGCAGUGCUAAAGAAAAGGGGGAAAAGACGCUACGUUAUUCCCCCCUCCUUCCCUCUGCCUCUUCCCAGCAAAUUGGGAAUCUAUGGAAUUGUGAUCAUAUGGGGUGAAAACUAAUAAAAGGAUUAAUAAAGUGAGAUGAUAUUCUGACUGGGCAGCUGUUUUGUUGGCACUGGUUUCAUGUGUGUGUGUUGGAAUUGGGAUGGGGGGAAUAACGUAGCAUCUGGGCUGGUGUAAUGACAGUAAAGCAGGCAAGGAUGGCCCAAUGAGAUGGGAUUUAGAGCAGCUCCAUAGACUGGACAUGGAAAUAACACCAUGUUCCAGAGAGUGAAUGGGAGAGCGGUGGCACUGCCUGAC